rnacentral:rRNA from 1 species
CCCUUAGACGUUCUGGGCCGCACGCGCGCUACACUGACGAAGGCAACGAGCUACUCUUCACCGAAAGGUGUGGGUAAUCUUUUGAAACUUCGUCGUGCUGGGGAUAGAUCCUUGCAAUUUUUGAUCUUAAACGAGGAAUUCCUAGUAAGCGCAAGUCAUCAACUUGCGUUGAUUACGUCCCUGCCCUUUGUACACACCGCCCGUCGCUACUACCGAUUGAACGGUUUAGUGAGGGCCUCGGAUUGGUCUCGGCCCGCUCUUUACCGGGCGGCGCCGUUGGUCGAGAAGACGCUCGAACUUGAUCGUUUAGAGGAAGUAAAAGUCGUAACA